CAAAUUUCAGCUUCUGCUGCCGUCUGUACGAUUGCCACCAAGUGCAAUAAAGCUUGCACUUAUAUUCUACUUCCAGUUUGUGGACAUAAUGGCAUAUGUUACAAGGAUUUUGGCAAUAAGUGCAGAUUCCAAAGUAAUAACUGCAUCCAAAGGGAAGCCAAACAGCCAGAAUUCGCAAUGGUCUACAAGGGAUUUUGUAAAACUAAAGACACCCCAGCCUGUCCCCAGGAUAUUUAUGGUUAAUGGCCGUUCCUUAAAAUAAUCUCCAUAGCAAUAGUUGUAGAUAUUUACUUCGCGGCUUACUCGACUUCUUAUUUUAUUGCAGCUGCCGUAGCUGUUGCUGCUUUGACUUAUUUCUGUACUCCAUUAAUACGCAUAGACACGAUUCUGAUAAAUGAUGCUGUUGAAACUGUA